AAACUGUUAGAAACCCUGAUCUAAUGCUUAUGUCUAAUGUUCAUUCAAUUCAGUUAACAUGAUUUCGCUGGUGGUACUGUUUUUCAUGGUGUAUUUAACUUCCACGUGAACUUAACAUGAAUUUGCAUAAGUGUUCCUUUUUUAUGUCUUCAGGCUGUGUGGAUGCAGAGUUACAGAGAAACAGUGUUUCAUCCUGACUUCAGCUCUGAAAUCAAACCCUUCACAUCUGAGAGAACUGGACCUCAGUGAGAACAAAAUAAAAAACACAGGAGUGAAGCAUUUAUGUGACAUACUGAAGGAUCCAGACUGUAAACUUGAGAGAUUGAGUCUGCAUGACUGUGGCAUUACAGAUCUUCAUACUUUAAUUCAGUCUUUGACAAACACAAAAGCACUGCAGUUUCUAAAAGAGCUUGAUCUGAGUUACAAUAUGAUUGGAGACUCAAAGCAGCAGCUCAUUGAUGUGCUACAAGGCUCAAACUGUAAACUACUAGAAAAAGAACACUGGCUCACAGCUAGUCUAAGCAACAUUAAUUUAAGCUGAACUCCAACAGGAUGGAACCAGCAAUCACCAUCAGCUGACAGAGCUACACAAGAGCUCUACUAUAGUGUUUAAAUCUAUGAGGAUAAAUUAAUUAAUUCAUUAUUAAUCUUAAUUAUGAACACACUGGUUUGUACAGUUUUACUGUUUAUGGCAUGUUGUUAUUCUCCUCGUUAUUUAGCUAUAGCAGCUAAUGAUCCAGAAGUCUCACCCAAAGGCUUACUUCUGCGUUGAAGAAAAACGUGGAUAUCAUGGUCUGAUUUGUCUGUAAGAAUUUUUUGGCAUCUUUGUAUAGUCUCACCUUUUUUUAAAUGUAAUAUUAUUUUCUUUUUUCUUCUUUUUUUUUU